AACAAACGCUGGCGGCGUGCCUAAUACAUGCAAGUCGAACGGGGAAAGCCUUCGGGUGAGUACUAGUGGCGCACGGGUGAGUAACACGUGGGUAAUCUGCUUUAGAGUGGGGGAUAACCAGUCGAAAGAUUGGCUAAUACCGCAUAAGACCACAGGAUCUGCGGAUCUAGGGGUCAAAGGUUUUUCGCUCUAAAAAUGAGCCCGCGCGGGAUUAGCUAGUUGGUGAGGUAACGGCUCACCAAGGCUACGAUCUCUAGCUGGUCUGAGAGGAUGAUCAGCCACACUGGAACUGAGACACGGUCCAGACUCCUACGGGAGGCAGCAGUAGGGAAUAUUGCACAAUGGAGGAAAACUCUGAUGCAGCGACGCCG
rnacentral:rRNA from 1 species